rnacentral:rRNA from 1 species
ACCAAGACUAGUCCACCUAUGUUUUAACUAAACUAUUUAUAUCAAAAAAAAACUAAAACAUUUAUUCAACUAGUAUAGGAGAUAGAAAAUUUAAAAAGGCACUAUAGAGAAAGUACCGUAAGGGAAAGAUUGAAAGAAAACUUAAAGAAAAAUAAAGCAAAGAUUACACCUUUUACCUUUUGCAUAAUGGGUUAGCUAGAUAACCUUUGCAAAGAGAACUUAAGUAAAUAACCCCGAAUCCAAGCGAGCUACUCAAGGGCAGCCCAAAUAGAGCAAACUCAUCUAUGUGGCAAAAUAGUGAGAAGACCUUUGAGUAGAGGUGAAAAGCCUAACGAGAUUGGUGAUAGCUGGUUACUCAAUAAAGAAUAUUAGUUCAACUUUAAAUUUACUAAAAGAAUUUUACCUAAAAUGUAAGUUUAAAAGCUAGUCUAAAGAGGUACAGCUCUUUAGACUAAGGAUACAACCUUAAAUAGUGAAUAAAACACUUAAAAUACCAUUGUAGGCCCAGAAGCAGCCACCAAUUAAGAAAGCGUUAAAGCUCAACAAAAAACCUUAUUUAAUUCCUACUUACCUAACAAUUCCUAUUUUACUAAUUGAGUUAUUCUACACCUAUGUAAGAAGAAAUACUGCUAAUAUGAGUAACAAGAAUAAAAUUCUCCUUGCACAAACUUAUAUCAGACCGAAUAAAUCACUGAUAGUUAACAAUAAAAUAACUAGACUCCACUAAUAAACAAUGCUAUUACUUUAAUUGUUAACCCAACACUGGAGUGCUUCUAAGGAAAGACUAAAAGAAGUAAAAGGAACUCGGCAAACACAAACCCCGCCUGUUUACCAAAAACAUCACCUCUAGCAUAAUAAAUAUUAGAGGCAACGCCUGCCCAGUGACAUAAGUUUAACGGCCGCGGUACCCUGACCGUGCAAAGGUAGCAUAAUCAUUUGUUCUUUAAUUAAGGACUUGUAUGAAUGGCUUCACGAGGGUUUAACUGUCUCUUACUUUCAGUCAGUGAAAUUGACCUCCCCGUGAAGAGGCGGGGAUAUAAAAAUAAGACGAGAAGACCCUAUGGAGCUUUAGUAAAAUAUUCAAAUUCAGUUAUACAUACCCUAUCUGGCAUAAAACAUACUGAAACUGAAUACUAAACUUUGGUUGGGGUGACCUCGGAGGAUAAAAAAUCCUCCGAGAGAUUUUAACCAAGACUAACAAGUCUAAGUAUAAAAUCUUAAUUGAUCCAAAUAUUAUAUUUGAUCAACGGAACAAGUUACCCUAGGGAUAACAGCGCAAUCCUACUUAAGAGUCCGUAUCGAAAGUUAGGGUUUACGACCUCGAUGUUGGAUCAGGACACCCCGAUGGUGCAGCAGCUAUCAAAGGUUCGUUUGUUCAACGAUUAAAGUCCUACGUGAUCUGAGUUCAGACCGGAGUAAUCCAGGUCGGUUUCUAUCUAUUCUAUAUUUCUCCCAGUACGAAAGGACCAGAGAAAUAGGGCCACCUUAUUAUAAGUGCCCUAUAAUAAUAGAUGAAAAAAUCUUAAUCUAUUUAUACUACCUUUUAACCCAAGAAAAGGGUUC